rnacentral:rRNA from 1 species
CGCGUGGGUAACCUGCCCUUAAGUCUGGGAUACCAUUUGGAAACAGAUGCUAAUACCGGAUAAAAAAGCUACUUUCGCAUGAAAGAAGUUUAAAAGGCGGCGUAAGCUGUCGCUAAAGGAUGGACCUGCGAUGCAUUAGCUAGUUGGUAAGGUAACGGCUUACCAAGGCGAUGAUGCAUAGCCGAGUUGAGAGACUGAUCGGCCACAUUGGGACUGAGACACGGCCCAAACUCCUACGGGAGGCAGCAGCG